CUCGGUACUCACCGUUUAGGGAAGCCGACCAACCGCCUCAGACACUGCUGCACCAGCCCUCCUCGGCCGCGUCCACCGCAGUUCCGGGGAGGGGCUUGCGCUCACGAACGCCUGCGCGCUGGGAAGGAAGUCCCGCCCCCAUUCUAGACCCCGCAUUUAAUUCGCUGCCCGGGGCGGCUUUCGCAGUCCAGGUACCGAGAGCGCGGACGGUGGGUGCAAUGGGCUGCGCGGGUAGGUCCUCCUCUCGGGCUUAGGGAGCGGGAGCAACAGGUGGAGCCCGCCGUACCUCCUCUGAAGGGGCUCUGUUCUAGCUCAUGUAUGGGAACGUAAGUUCUUGUAUUCUUGCUUUGGUUUUAGCGCAGUGGCUGUUUACGUACUGGCUGUGUGCCUGGAGCCUCGAAAACGUUUUAGCAUUUAAUUUACAACUCAACCAGCCUGUAUUGGAGGUGUUUUCCGCAGGUUUUCAUGCCUCGCCUGUUGCUCACUGAUGGUUGGGGAAGGUCGGGCUGCCUCCAAUAAUCAAGCUAAACUGGGUCCUUUGUUACAGGCAGAGAAAUCAGCUUCACGGUAGUUAAUCUUUUUUUCGAUGUGGGGAUCACCAGACCAUCUGGGAAACCUUUCCCACGCACUGUCUCUAUGUCCGGUGACUUUGGGAAGUCCUAAAGGACAACGGGGGAAUUCACCAAGCUUAGGUCGAGUGAGCCUCCCCACCACCCCGGAGCCAGCAUGGGACACAGCUUAACUCAUUUCUUGGAGGAACUUGCCAGUGUGUCCCCAAGAGCCUGGGUGGCAUAGUCUGUGCCCAACUGGUGCCUGAAGCCUACGGGGACUGCACUUCCUGUGCUCCGGACUUCCUCAUAGGUACUUUUCCAUCUGGCUGUUCAUUUGUAUCCUUUAAUAUCCUUUGUAAUAAAUGGACACCAAGUUGGGGAAAGCAGGUAGGGGGACAGGGUGGGAUGAAUUGGGAGAUUGGGAUUGACAUAUAUACACUAAUAUGUAUAAAAUAGAUAACUAAUAAGAACCUGCUGUAUAAAAAAAUAAAUAAAAUAAAAUUCAGAAAAAUAAAAAAAAUAAAUUAUCUAAUAAAAAACCAUUUUCCAAAAAAAAAAAAAGAAAAAAACCCCAACAUUUAAGGGUCUAUUGCCACACAAGAUGCGUUACAUACAUUAUCAUGUUAAUCUUGACAAUACAUAUGCAAUAUAUUUAUAUCCUUAAUUUAGAGUUGAGGAAACUGAGUCCCCCCCCAAAAAAAAUGUGACUUCCCAAAAGUAUUCCAACUACUAAAGAUUGGAGCCAGGAUUCCAACCUAUGAUUUCUAAGUCCAUACCCUAGGGCUACUAGACCACUAAGGGUCAUCGUUCCAUCUAUCAUAAGAAGUGGCUGAACUGUCAGCCUAAAAAUGUCUCUAAGGUGAUAAUUUUGCAAGAGAAAAAUGUGCACACAAAUUAUUUAGUAAUAUUCAUGUGACAACAAAUUCUUUUACUGAAAUUUCCACUAUACGUCUUUUACCAUCCCAAUGUCAUGUCAACAUAGCAUACAGAAGUAUCAGGCAUUCUGAAGAGGAGACAAACUCCUCUUCUGACUAAAGCAGUGUCACCAGUAAUAAAGAGAGCAUUUCCUUUUGAAUGGCUCUUCAACUUCACAUAUGAAAACUUGAGCUCAUUUUUCCCCUCCCUCCUUUUAUCUACAGAGGUACACACAGCCCUCUGCUUCUCCAUGGACACAUCUUAGAACUACUCUAACCUUUCCUCUCUCCCUCACACCCCACGUCAAAUCUCACAACGGUACGCAAGAUGAGCAUUAUCCUCAAGUGUUCUGGGGUGGAAUGAACUUACUAAGGAGCAAACACACCUGCUGCAUUAAUAAAUCUUUCCUUAUUUUUGUUUUUGUAUUGUUUAUUUUGGGUUUUUUCCAUAUAUUUCAAUAUUAACAGGAUAAUACUGCAUGGUAACUUCGAUAUGUUUUUAAUUUAGUAUACAUAGAAGGAUAAUAAUUAUUAAAAUUUAGUUCCAAUUAUAUAUAUAUUAAUUCCCACACACAAACACGUGUGUAUAUACUAGGUCACAAUUUUAAAUGUAUUCCUUACUAAGAAUCAUGGUAAAAAAAAAAAUUGAAAAUCAUUGUUCUACAGUAUUUUGCAAAGAGUAAAAAGGAAGAUUACUAAUGUCUGCCCUAAAUACAUGAGCUCUAACAGGAAUAUUGAAAGAAUUGAAGACAGCCUGCUGAAGCAAGAUGGAACUUUAAAUUCUGAGGCCCAACCCAUCAUAUCGUCUGGAGAGAAGAGGGGGAAAUGAUGUCUGAAGAACUUAAGUGACUUGAAUGUGAUAGCAGAGAUAGACACCAGGUCCCCUGAUUCUUACAGUAGCAAACUGGCCCUUUCCACUGUACACUACAGCUAUGUGGAAAAAAAAAAUUAACCUCAAUCCUUACCUUACACUGCAUACAAAAUUUAAGUGGAAAUGAAUCACAGACCUGAAAUUAAGAGCUAAAACCUCAAAACUUCUAAAAGAAAGCACAGGAAAAAAAUUUAAUUGACCUAGAUUUGGCAAAGAUUUCUUACAUAUAACACAAAAAGCACUAACUAUAAUGAAAAAAUUCAAUGAAUUAGACCUCAUCAAAAUUAGACCACAGCAAUCUGACUCAUAAUCACAUGUAAAGAUGUUCAAUGUCCACUGGUCAUUUGGGAAAUCCAAAUUAUAAAUACAAUGAAAUACUACUACACUAGACCGCUGGUAAUACCACCAGAAUGACCUAAAACCAAAAAGACUGAUCAUACCAAGUGUCAAAUAGAAUGGUGAAGGAAGAACAGACCAGACCAUGGACCAAACUCAAUGCAGAGACAAGAGAGGAAUAUCAUGGCUAUCCAAGGUUGAAGCAAGAUCAUCUCAGUGCAUGUUCUGAAAAGGAUAGUAAUCUCUCUCAACAAGGUGUUAAAAGACUCUCCCUGGGCUUCCCUGGUGGCACAGUGGUUGAGAAUCUGCCUGCCAAUGCAGGGGACACGGGUUCGAGCCCUGGUCUGGGAAGAUCCACAUGCCGCGGAGCAACUAGGCCCGUGAGCCACAACUACUGAGCCUGCGCAUCUGGAGCUUGUGCUCCGCAACAAGAGAGGCCGCGACAGUGAGAGGCCCGCGCACCGCCAUGAAGAGUGGCCCCCGCUCACCGCAGCUAGAGAAAGCCCUCGCACAGAAACGAAGACCCAACACAGCCAAAAAUAAAUAAAUUAAUUAAUUAAAUUAAAAAAAAAAGACUCUCCCAACUAAGCAACACUCUCCACUUUCCUGCCAAAGGCAAACUGAAAGCUUAUAGCUAAUAGGCUACUCUCUGAAAUGCCCACAUGCUUCUGCUCUAACCAGUUGAGUUGUAACCAAGAGUCAGCUGUGUUUGUUCUCACACCAGUUUAUCCCAAUUUACUUGAAUACUGCAAUUACAUAAUUAAGUAUUACAUAAACAUACGAAUGCAAAGACAGAGUCGUUUCUAUGACAACUAAAUUGAAAGUUUAGAAAAACUCAACAAAGAUAAGUUGCCAAAGGAAACUGCUAUUGAAUUAGGAAGAACAAGACAACUUGCAAAAGCUGAGUAAAAAAUAAUCAAAAAAAUCUAAGACAGGCUUUCAGACUGCUUCAUAAGCAUCUUUAAAUUCUCACUCAACUUUAGAGCUUCCCUGGUGGCGGAGUGGUUAAGAAUCCACCUGCCAACGCAGGGAACUCAGGUUCGAGCCCUGGUCCGGGAAGAUCCCACAUGCCGCAGAGCAACUAAGCCCGUGCGCCACAACUGCCGAGCCUGUGCUCUAGAGCCCGCGUGCCACAGUCACUGAGCCCGUGUGCCACAACUACUGAAGGCCCACGCACCUACAGCCUGUGCUCUGCAACAAGAGAAGCCACCGUGAUGAGAA